UACGUAUGGUCCCGAGCGUUGUCCGGAUUUAUUGGGCGUAAAGCGAGCGCAGGUGGUUUAUUAAGUCUGGUGUAAAAGGCAGUGGCUCAACCAUUGUAUGCAUUGGAAACUGGUAGACUUGAGUGCAGGAGAGGAGAGUGGAAUUCCAUGUGUAGCGGUGAAAUGCGUAGAUAUAUGGAGGAACACCGGUGGCGAAAGCGGCUCUCUGGCCCGUAACUGACACUGAGGCUCGAAAGCGUGGGGAGCAAACAGG
rnacentral:rRNA from 1 species